rnacentral:rRNA from 1 species
UACGGAGGGUGCGAGCGUUGUUCGGAAUCACUGGGCGUAAAGCGCGUGUAGGCGGCCCAUUAAGUCUGAUGUGAAAGCCCGGGGCUCACCCCCGGAAGUGCAUUGGAAACUGAUGGACUCGAGUCCCGGAGAGGAGAGUGGAAUUCCUGGUGUAGCGGUGAAAUGCGUAGAUAUCAGGAGGAACACCGGUGGCGAAGGCGGCUCUCUGGACGGUGACUGACGCUGAGACGCGAAAGCGUGGGGAGCGAACAGG